rnacentral:rRNA from 2 species
GGUAGAAUUCCAGGUGUAGCGGUGAAAUGCGUAGAGAUCUGGAGGAAUACCGGUGGCGAAGGCGGCCCCCUGGACGAAGACUGACGCUCAGGUGCGAAAGCGUGGGGAGCAAACAGGAUUAGAUACCCUGGUAGUCCACGCCGUAAACGAUGUCGACUUGGAGGUUGUGCCCUUGAGGCGUGGCUUCCGGAGCUAACGCGUUAAGUCGACCGCCUGGGGAGUACGGCCGCAAGGUUAAAACUCAAAUGAAUUGACGGGGGCCCGCACAAGCGGUGGAGCAUGUGGUUUAAUUCGAUGCAACGCGAAGAACCUUACCUGGUCUUGACAUCCACGGAAGUUUUCAGAGAUGAGAAUGUGCCUUCGGGAACCGUGAGACAGGUGCUGCAUGGCUGUCGUCAGCUCGUGUUGUGAAAUGUUGGGUUAAGUCCCGCAACGAGCGCAAC